rnacentral:rRNA from 1 species
UACAGAGAUGGCAAGCGUUGUUCGGAAUCACUGGGCAUAAAGGGCACGUAGGCGGGUCAGUAAGUCAGGUGUGAAAUCCCUCGGCUCAACCGAGGAACUGCGCCUGAAACUGCUGGUCUUGAGGACAGGAGGGGAGAGUGGAACUCUUGGUGGAGCGGUGAAAUGCGUAGAUACCAAGAGGAACGCCGGUGGCGAAAGCGACUCUCUGGCCUGUUUCUGACGCUGAGGUGCGAAAGCUAGGGGAGCAAGCAGG